ACAUUUUUUCACAGUUUUUGAUGUACGUUAUCCUUCUAUCGUAACUACAAGUUACAAUCUAACUAAUAUUUAACCUUCACAAAAAUGAACACACUAAAUUGAUUAACAAAAUAAAAUAGAAAUGAAUUAAGAGAAAGAAAAAGUAAACACACACAAUUCAACAGCUAGCAUUCCUCUCUCCUCUUUUUAAUUUCCAAAUCGUAUUGAAUUUUCACCAUCUCUCCUGAUUCAGCUUUCACCAUUUCAUAUUAAAAUUUUCAAAAUCCAUAAGAAAAUUUCUAAGCUUCAGAAGCUUGUAGCGAUGGAAAACCAUUCGAGGCUCAUCUGCGUCUUCCAAAUCCUCCGCAUCAGAAACUGCUGCUAUAGCUGAAUCCCUAACCGUCGAGAAAAACACCAGACCCUAGAAGAGCAAAUCGAGAAGAAACCUGUGAAGUUGGGCCUCCAGAGGAUCAAAUCGAGAAUCCACAAUCAUCGUUUGUGGUAAACUUUCUAUCAUAUCGAGAAUCCACAAUUAUCGUUUGAGGAUCAUAUAAGACGCAUCCAAACUCAUGAGGUACAUCACCACUAUCUUGGUCAUAACAUUCAAAACGAGCUAAUUUUCUUCUCGCAUAUAAGGUUAAGAAUGUUUCAUGUGAGUUUAUAUGAUGAAGCAAUGACACCGAUUCAGGUUCUUGAGUUGGUGAAAGAUAUGAGUUGUUAUCCAAAUGUUGAUAUUGCUUACCGGAUUUUACUAACAACACAUGUAACAGUUGCAUCAGGUGAAAGAAGUUUCUCUAAGCUAAAAUUGUUGAAAAAAGAUUUGAGAUCAUCAAUGUCUCAAGAAAGGUUGAACGGUUUAUCAAUUUUAUGCAUUAAAAACAAAAUUUUGGAGAGUUUGAAUUUUGAAUUAAUUAUCAAUGAUAUUGUAUCAUCAACUAAAGCUAGAAAAAAAACAUUUCAAGUGACUGAUUUUUCAUCUUUUAAAGAAUUGAUACUUUUUUCUAUUUGUUUCAGGUCUUAGAACUUCUUUUUGUUCAGGCUAAAGGAAAUGCAAUGAAGAAAAAAUAUAGAAAAUAUUUUUAAAAGGGUCCAUAUUCCAUGUUUCGCCUAGGGCUAUUAUAUUGGUUAAGACGACACUGAUUAUUAUAGACAAUAUAGGCUCUCUCUCAACUUCUGUGAAAACUGCAUUCUAUGAAAAUCAAAGACAAGUCAAUGACAAGAUAGAAUAGACACAAACCUAGUUACACCUAUACAGAACAAUGUACAAAAGUUAAGAAGACAAGACAAUCACACCUUCCAUAAUGCACCUUUUGAUGGAUGCAAUAUCACUUUGUUUGGAGGAAACUAAUAUGAAGUUUCUCCAAAGUCUUUCCAACUUUUGGAGGAUGUUUUUUGCAUUUUCCAUUCUAGAAAGCUGCCAAUGACCACAUUAAUACUAAUUGAAAACAAAAACAAUAACAAAAUCGACAAUAUAAUAUAACCAUAAAAGUUAGUUCCCUGCCGCGAUUCAUUAGUUUUCUGCCACGAUUCAUUAGCUAUCAGCAUUGAUUCGUUGUCUGAACAAGAUACUUGCAUUCACUUUGGCAAGCAUCAUGGCUGAAACUGUGAUAAUUUCUUCUCCACAUCCAAAUCUCUUUAAAGAAAUUAACAUUCUUCUCAUCUUAUGCUCCACAUCCAAUGCUGACAUUUUCUAACAUAUUCUUGUUAACUUUCCUUUACUGUCUAUGGUUUCAAGCGAGUACCAAAUCUCAAUAUUUUGAUGAUUGUUCACAUGUUAAAAGUUGAUUUUUAAAGGCGUUAUUGAUUUGACAGAAAAUUCACGUAAGAACAAGAAUUACCUGCUUGUUACAUUCCUCCUAAUCUGUUUCAUCUUCCUGGCUAUUGGAAAGCUUAUCGAACAGACCUUGUGCAUAAACAUUUGUCUCCUUACUUGAGACAAAACCACAAGUUGUGCAGAAACAAUAGUCUCCUCACCACUAGGUCCACAAGUUGAGCAUGGGAGCUGACCCUUCUAGCUGCACGUGGGAGUAUAAUUGAUUCAAAUCUGAACCAAGAGGUAUCUAAGUAAAAAAUAUUUAGCUGAUUGGAUGCACUUUGAGAUGACAACAUUGUGUGUAUUCUCUAGUUUCAGUGAUUUCAUUUGUUUGUGAGUCCACAAUUGGAUCUCAUCAUCAUCAUUAUCAUUUCCACAAGCUUAACUUAGAUAUCUUUAAUAUGUAGUAUCAAAAGUUUCUAAGUUUAGUUUUGAGGCAAUGAAACAUUCAAUUUUAUCUGCAAAUCUAUCUCCGACUUCUAUAUAUCUACUUACAAUCCCCAAAAUUCUUUCUUUAAACUCUUUUAUUAACUCUGAUGUUGUAACUUAUUUUUUUUAUGUGACAGAAAGAGAAAAAGAAAACAAAAUAAGAUAAUAAUUUUGGGUGUUUCUAAGUAAGUUACCAAAAGAGGAACAAAUGAGACAACUCAGUUUCUCUUGAGGUCCUUCUUUUACAUGAUGUCUCCUAUAGCUUUUUUAUGUCAGAUAGGAUCCAUGCAUGUGUCGGCUGGGUUGUGGCUUUUCCUAAGCAACUCUUUUGGUUGCUUGUAGCGGAGGCUCAUUCUCGGUAGUCCAAAGGGUUAUUUGGCUCUAUGGAGUUUAUGUGGUGUGUCUUUUUAUGUCUGUUGUUUCUGCUUUUUUUUAUGUAC